rnacentral:rRNA from 1 species
AAUAGCCAAUGCAUGCUUUUACAGUAUGGAAAUUGGUGAUUUAUAAUAACUUGGCAAAUCGCAAAGUGAAAACAGGCGAUAAAUCAUUCAAGUUUCUGACCUAUCAGCUUUCGACGGUAUGGUAUUGGCUUACCGUGGCAGUGACGGUUAACGGGGGAUUAGGGUUCGAUUCCGGAGAGGGAGCCUGAGAAACGGCUACCACAUCUAAGGAAGGCAGCAGGCGCGCAAAUUACCCAAUUCUAACAGUUUGAGAGAGGUAGUAACAAGAAAUAACAAUACAAGGCAAUUAAAAUGCUUUGUAAUUGGAAUGAUAGAAAUUUAAACCCUUUUUAAAGUAUCAAUUGGAGGGCAAGUCUGGUGCCAGCAGCCGCGGUAAUUCCAGCUCCAAUAGCGUAUAUUAAAAUUGUUGCAGUUAAAAAGCUCGUAGUUGAAGUUCUGCUAAAAGUAACCGGUCUGCUUUUAAUAAAAGUGGUAUCUUGGUGUGUAUUUAGCAAUGAUGUCCUUUGAAGUGUUUUUUACUUUAUUGUAAUAAAGCAUAUUCAGGACUUUUACUUUGAGAAAAUUAGAGUGUUUCUAGCAGGCCGACGCUUUGAAUACUGACGGG